UUAGUAACUCCGCCUAUAGCUCCUCCGGAGUCUACUGGCGGUCCCAAGCCCGCGUAAAGGAGGAGGGUUGG
rnacentral:ribozyme from 2 species